rnacentral:rRNA from 1 species
ACGGCUCAGUAACACGUGGAUAACUGCCCUUUGGGUCCGGCAUAACCCCGGGAAACUGGGGAUAAUACCGGAUAACGCACAUAUGCUGGAAUGCUUUAUGCGUAAAAUGGAUUCGUCUGCCCAAGGAUGGGUCUGCGGCCUAUCAGGUAGUAGUGGGUGUAAUGUACCUACUAGCCAACAACGGGUACGGGUUGUGAGAGCAAGAGCCCGGAGAUGGAUUCUGAGACAUGAAUCCAGGCCCUACGGGGCGCAGCAGGCGCGAAAACUUUACAAUGCUGGCAACAGCGAUAAGGGGACCUCGAGUGCCAGGAUACAAUCUUGGCUGUCGUAAUGCCUAAAAAGCAUUGCAUAGCAAGGGCCGGGCAAGACCGGUGCCAGCCGCCGCGGUAACACCGGCGGCUCGAGUGGUAACCGCUAUUAUUGGGUCUAAAGGGUCUGUAGCCGGCCGGAUAAGUCUCUUGGGAAAUCCAGCUGCUCAACAGUUGGGCUUUCAGGAGAUACUGUUCGGCUCGAGGCCGGGAGAGGUGAGAGGUACUUCAGGGGUAGGGGUGAAAUCUUGUAAUCCUUGAAGGACCACCAGUGGCGAAGGCGUCUCACCAGAACGGUCCUGACGGCAAGGGACGAAAGCUAGGGGCACGAACCGGAUUAGAUACCCGGGUAGUCCCAGCUGUAAACGAUGCAGACUCGGUGAUGGGCUGGCUUCGUGCCAACCCGGUGCCGCAGGGAAGCCGUUAAGUCUACCGCCUGGGGAGUACGGUCGCAAGACUGAAACUUAAAGGAAUUGGCGGGGGAG